UACGGAGGGUGCAAGCGUUAAUCGGAAUUACUGGGCGUAAAGCGCGCGUAGGCGGUUUGAUAAGCGGGAUGUGAAAGCCCCGGGCUUAACCUGGGAACGGCAUUCCGAACUGUCAGGCUAGAGUAUGGUAGAGGGUAGUGGAAUUUCCUGUGUAGCGGUGAAAUGCGUAGAUAUAGGAAGGAACACCAGUGGCGAAGGCGGACUACCUGGACCAAUACUGACGCUGAGGUGCGAAAGCGUGGGGAGCAAA
rnacentral:rRNA from 1 species